rnacentral:lncRNA from 10 species
CCUGAAGUGGAAGUUCCCAAAUACCAACAGGAAGGUAAUAUUUGUGGUCUUCCUCCCUCACUGAAACCUGAAGCACUGGAAUUUUACGUGGGUGUCAUUUUCUCAAGAGAUUUCCAGCUGCAAUUCUCAGAGCAGAGAGAAACAUCAUCAGUGGUGUAGAAGAGCUCAGGGAAGCAAGGAGGGCUGCUGUGAAUGACACCAUGAAUUUCUGAAUGUGAUGUCCCUUCAAUUCAUGAGUCCAACUUCAAAGCACUGACACAUUUGGUGUCUGAUGAUGUCCGGCUUUCUCAUAGACGGCUACCUUCUUCUCACUGUUACCUCAUAUGGUGGAAGUAAGUGGGAGCCAGCAGCUGACCUUCCAGCAGAUGAGAGCAGGGAGUCCAACGUUCUCCUUCAGUAAGUCUAUUGUGAAUGGACUGUGCAACCAGAGUAUCCCUGUUCAGAAUCCCAGCAUGUGUAUCCAAAUCUGACAUCCAUUUCCAGGAGCAAAUAUUUGCCACUGAAGCUUAAGAUGUUAUUUCACAGUGGAAAUCGUAUCAGCCAAUUUUAGAAGAGUUUAAAGCUCGUGACAUUUCCUGUCUCUUUUGGGAAAUUUGUGUAUGCUAAAAAAAAAAAUAUUCUUAAGAAUCAGAAUCAAUUUCGUCCCAAAAUAACAUCAAUUUUUUGCCUUCUCUUCAUAACUUCUGAUGUUGACAGUCACUUAUGCUUGAGGAUAAAGACAUCAGCCCGAAGGGGGAAAAAGCAGAUGUGGAAAAAAUUUGUAAGAUUUGAAAAAGUGCCCCUGUAUUAAAUUUCUGAUUCUGCUGUGAAGGAUCUUCUCAUGAUGAGUGAAAGGAAGGAAAACCCACAAAGUCAACCUCUUGGGUGGGUGGAAGGAAAGAAUGGAAGAAAUUUUUAAAAAGACAUUUUUUGUUCAAAAUGGAAUCACUUGCUCAAGACAAAAGCAAAAUAAAAUGAAACAGGAAGAACCCCAAAUUACAAAUAUUAUCAAGAGCUUAGUGUUAUUUACAAAUUGAUUUGAAUAAAUGCAAUUGCUUUUUGUAUGCAUCUAUAUAUAUUUGAAUUUAUAUGUGUAUUUUUACUGGUUUUAUUAAAAAUGUUUUCUAAUCACAAAAU